AAAGUUAUAGUUUAUAUAAAAUUUUGAUAUGUGGAAUCAAAGAAGAUUAUUCUAACUUUA
rnacentral:tRNA from 1 species